GACGAACGCUGGCGGCGUGCUUAACACAUGCAAGUCGAGCGGUAAGGCCCUUUCGAGGGUACACGAGCGGCGAACGGGUGAGUAACACGUGGGUGACCUGCCCUCAGCUCUGGGAUAAGCCUGGGAAACCGGGUCUAAUACUGGAUAUGACUCCAUGACGCAUGUUGUGGGUGGAAAGCCUUGUGCGGCUGAGGAUGGGCCCGCGGCCUAUCAGCUUGUUGG
rnacentral:rRNA from 1 species